AUCCAGCUAAAGAGUCCCAUAUAGGACGAAGCGCGCCUCCUGGAU
rnacentral:hammerhead_ribozyme from 1 species